rnacentral:tRNA from 3 species
UUAGUUGAAACCAAAAAUUAAGAGGUAACUUAUUGUUAAUAAGAAAAUUGAAUUUAAUUCCAACUAAA